rnacentral:tRNA from 1 species
UCCGCCGUAGUGUAAUUGGCAGCACGACAGGUUUUGGUCCUGUUUGUCUAGGUUCGAGUCCUGGCGGCGGAA